AUGGCUUUUCACGAGGACGAGCAGUAUUUUGAAGGUGACCGCUACGGAGAAGAGGACCAUUACGCGACCUCUCAACGCCACCGGGACCACGGGAGGUAUCGUUCUGGCUCCUAUUAUGAACAGAGACUCCCUCGAACGUAUGCAGAAGUGACCAGGUACGGCUGCCAACAUGACGAUGAACGCUAUGAGAGGCGCGCUGUUCACCAACGUGAACGCGCACCUCAGCGAGUACGGGAUAGACGCACACACUUUGAACAAAAUGAGGGACAGCGUUCUCGCAGUGUCUACGCCCGACAACCACGGUACCGUACUCCCCGUUACAAUCCUGCACCACGUCCCCGUUAUGAACCUCCACAGCUGAACCGUUCACCGUUCCGCCGACCACGACGUCGCGCAACAUACGGCAGACGCCAGCAACGGGAUUUCCCCAUGGAGAGAGACCGGGCCGGAGCACAGCACCGCAGAAGACCGGCCCGCCAGCCACAAAGGAGAGAUCAGGAGCCGCUGAGGAUCCAGUCAGAUGAUCCCCGCUUCAGGGAAAAGGUCCGAGCCCUACAUAAAAUCAUUGUGGCAUUUCACCACCUCCGGAACUGGUCCGGAGCCCGGGCACCAUCCCAGGUAAGCAAGAUGACGGAGACUCUUGCUACCUUUAUAAAACCAGCUUCUCCCACACACGCAACACUCCUCCUAAUUGAGGGUAAUGCGAAAAAUUGGGAAUAUAAUAAUAUCACCAUAAUGAAGCAGCAUUAUGAGGAUGUGAUACAGCAGCAUCUCCUUGAGAUGGCUGAUGCCCAACAUCAGGACUGGAGGGGUCCCUUUGAGGUGGCGUCAGGCUGGGCCCGUCGCAAUUUGGGUCGGCGCCUCCUUCCCAAAACCCUGCAGGAGGCUGAGACUUUUUUGACAGACAACCUGAACGCCAGAGGUGUACUGGACCCACCUGGGAGCCCCUCCCGAGCCCAAUCAGAUGACUCCUCCUCAUCAGCAUCAUCUCAGGCAAUCCCCUCAGCAUCCCCCCUCUCCCACACAACAUCACAAGCUCCUGCAGCCACACGCAGCACUGCAGCCCAAACACAUCCACCUGCUGCAGCCUGCACCACAUCUUUUGCCCCACCUCGAACAGUCACCACUGCCUCCAUGGGCACUAUGACUCACCUGAGGGGCGGGGAUUGGUCCCCCCUCCCCUCCCAACAAUCAGAGGGAGAGGAGAGCAUGGCUGAGGAAGAGGAAUACAACAAUGAUGUUGAUGAUGAACAUUGUCAUUAUGAUAAGGAUGAGGGAGAGGAUUAUGAUGAUGACGACGAUGACAACGUCCAUCCUCAUCUGCUCUCACAAUCUACCCCAGUGUCUCCCACUCCUUCCAUGGUCGCAAACACGCCACCAUCUCCUAAAUCACAAAGAGAACCCAGGACUGGCUCCAGGUCCAAAUUUAGCACUCGCCAGUCUGAGGAGGAAGAUUUGCUCCCUAACACCCAAUUCGCGGAGGAUGAGACAUCCACAGUGGAGCCUUGCGCCCUGAGAUCGACACAGAGUUUCCCCAACGUCAGACUCCGGCCCCUCAGCUCCCACAUCACACCAAUACCCCCGCCAUCUUCAGUUGCAUUAAACUCACCUACUGAUGAAGAGGAUCACACAAUCAUCCGGCAGGGGGCUGUCUCCUCUUCCUCCGAUUCUCCUUCUUCUCCUCCUGCUGCUGCUGCGGCUGAACUCCAUCUUGCCUCUCCAGGCCCCCCCUCCCUGACCAAAAUGGGGCCAAUCUUUCUCCUCUCUCCUCCUGCAGCAGCCAGAUCCCCCCAUAGGAUGAGCCGCAGGCAAUUUACCCAAAUGGAGAUCCUUGCCACCCCCUCUACUCCUCCUGGCACUGAAAUUUUCAAGCCCACUCGCCACCCCAACACCAGCAGGAAACUGAGGGACUGGAGCAUCUGCCUACAAAAAAAGAUGGUCAUUAUGGGGGAUUCCAACGUUGGCAGAUUUCCUCCCUUCACCAGAGAGGACCUGCAGGUCGACAGUUUUCCUGGAGCCACCUUCUACCAUGCAGAAUCCAUCCUGCAGAAAGCCACCUCUUCCACCCAGACACAGUCCAUCAUCCUGUCCUUUGGCAUCAACAGCAGAAAUCAAAAAACCCACUCUACCACCAUCAAACAACUCCAGGGUGCCUACAGAGUAGCCAAGAAGAGGUUCCCUCAGACUGCUGUUUACGUCCCAGAACUGAACUUCUCCCCAGCCCUCCCACAGGUGGAGCAAAACAACUUGCAUCUACUUAAUGAUCACAUUAGGGAGAACUGUGAGUAUCUCACCCGCAUCCCCAGUGAGCUCUUUGAGGUCGAGGCAGACCUCAUCCACUGGUCUCCUACCACAGCGGGUCGUAUCCUUUCUCACUGGUUACAGGGAAAUUAA
ensembl:lncRNA